GCAGUCGACGGUAACAUGGAUUGCUUGCAAUCUGAUGACGAGUGGCGCACGGGUGCGUAACGCGUAUAGAACCUACCCUUUACUGGGGGAUAGCCCGGAGAAAUUCGGAUUAAUACCCCAUAGUACUAUUUAGAGGCAUCUUUAGAUGGUUAAAGUUUUUACGGUAAAGGAUGGCUAUGCGUCCUAUUAGUUCGUAGGUGAGGUAACGGCUCACCUAGACUUCGAUAGGUAGGGGCCCUGAGAGGGGGAUCCCCCACACUGGUACUGAGACACGGACCAGACUCCUACGGGAGGCAGCAGUGAGGAAUAUUGGACAAUGGUCGGGAGACUGAUCCAGCCAUGCCGCGUGCAGGAAGACUGCCCUAUGGGUUGUAAACUGCUUUUUUACGGGAAGAAUAAUACCCACGUGUGGGUAGAUGACGGUACCGUAGGAAUAAGGACCGGCUAACUCCGUGCCAGCAGCCGCGGUAAUACGGAGGGUCCGAGCGUUAUCCGGAAUUAUUGGGUUUAAAGGGUCCGCAGGCGGGCCAGUAAGUCAGGGGUGAAAGUUUGCGGCUUAACCGUAAAAUUGCCUUUGAUACUGCUGGUCUUGAGUUGCGGUGAAGUGGCCGGAAUAUGUGGUGUAGCGGUGAAAUGCAUAGAUAUCACAUAGAACACCGAUUGCGAAGGCAGGUCACUAACCGCCGACUGACGCUGAUGGACGAAAGCGUGGGGAGCGAACGGGAUUAGAUACCCUGGUA
rnacentral:rRNA from 1 species